rnacentral:rRNA from 1 species
GUGAGGAAUAUUGGUCAAUGGACGAGAGUCUGAACCAGCCAAGUCGCGUGAAGGAAGACGGUUCUAUGAAUUGUAAACUUCUUUUGUGCAGGAAUAAAGUGGGUUACGUGUAACCUUUUGUAUGUACUGUACGAAUAAGGAUCGGCUAACUCCGUGCCAGCAGCCGCGGUAAUACGGAGGAUCCGAGCGUUAUCCGGAUUUAUUGGGUUUAAAGGGUGCGUAGGUGGAUUGUUAAGUCAGCGGUGAAAGUUUGCGGCUUAACUGUAAAAUUGCCGUUGAAACUGUCGGUCUUGAGUGCAAAUGAGGUAGGCGGAAUGUGUUGUGUAGCGGUGAAAUGCUUAGAUAUAACACAGAACUCCGAUUGCGAAGGCAGCUUACUGGGAUGCAACUGACACUGAUGCACGAAAGCGUGGGUAUCAAACAGGAUUAGAAACCCGGGUAGUCC